GUGUGGAGUUUCCUGGGUUCGAUUUCCGAAACAAAGACUAUAAAAUUAGCAUGUGCUGCUUCUUUACCAAACGUACAUUAUUUUGGAGUAAGUGUAAAGACUGAUUGGCUCGGAAUCGAAUAAUAUGUUUGAGAACGGUUGCAUGUUUUUGUGGACUAUUGGCAGCAAAUCAAACACCUAUCUCAACAAGCGCCCUAUAAUAGUUUAGCAAAAGUAUCUGCUUGUAUCAUUAAAACAUGUUGCAGUUCUGGUCAUGCAUGUGAUAUUUGCUUCCGGAC
rnacentral:lncRNA from 1 species